UACGGGGGGGGUAAGCGUUGUCCGGAAUUACUGGGCGUAAAGGGCUCGUAGGCGGCCAACUAAGUCGGACGUGAAAUCCCUCAGCUUAACUGGGGAACUGCGUCCGAUACUGGAUGGCUUGGAUUUGGGAGAGGGAUGCGGAAUUCCAGGUGUAGAGGUGAAAUUCGUAGAUAUUCGCAAGAACACCAGUGGCGAAGGCGGCUCACUGGCCCGGUACUGACGCUGAGGUGCGAAAGCGUGGGGAGCAAACAGG
rnacentral:rRNA from 1 species